CUCCUACGGGGCGCAGCAGUCGGGAAUAUUGCGCAAUGGAGGAAACUCUGACGCAGUGACGCCGCGUGCAGGAAGAAGGUUUUCGGAUUGUAAACUGCUUUAGACAGGGAAGAAAAAAGACAGUACCUGUAGAAUAAGCUCCGGCUAACUACGUGCCAGCAGCCGCGGUAAUACGUAGGGAGCAAGCGUUAUCCGGAUUUAUUGGGUGUAAAGGGUGCGUAGACGGGAAAACAAGUUAGUUGUGAAAUCCCUCAGCUUAACUGAGGAACUGCAACUAAAACUAUUUUUCUUGAGUGCUGGAGAGG
rnacentral:rRNA from 1 species